GUAGAAAAUACUUAUUAUAUAGUUCAGGACCUCAUCUAACAAUAGAACAAUCAUGCAAAACAAUUGCACAUUGGAAAAAAUAAUAAAGAAACUAUGUUAUGAAUACAAUUAAAACAUAACAUUUUAAUUCCCAUGGCAAGUGGAGAACACGCAUGAGUUGGAGAUGGACAUGCAUAAGACAGUUGAACAGAUUAUUCAACAUGACAGUACUCUUAACCUAGAAAAAAGAAACUUAAAUAGCAACAACUUUGCAAAACCAAAUAUGACCAAUAUAUGGAAGUGAGUGUUCAGGCAGAACCAGUUAUCUAAGAAGCAUAUGCAACCACGCAAAUUCAAGCCAUUAAAAAAAAA